ensembl:snoRNA
GGGGUGUGCUCGGAGGAAGUGGCCUGAAGAAAGGCUUUGUUUAUGAUACACCCAAUAGGAAUCUAGAGUCACUGUGACAAGGGGCACAGAACUCGUAACUUCUCUUUGAGCAAAUGUCCUACACGU